GAUGAACGCUGACAGCAUGCUUAACACAUGCAAGUCUUUGGUGAAGCUGUGCUUGCACAGCCUAGCCAAGGCGGACGGGUGAGUAACGCGUAAGGAACUUGCCCUGCAGUCAGGGAUAACAGACGGAAACGACUGAUAAGACCUGGUAAAGUCAGGCGGACUCAUGUCCAGCCUGAUGAAAAGAGAUGCUGCAGGAGAGCCUUGCGUCCUAUUAGCUUGUUGGUGGGGUAACGGCCCACCAAGGCAAUGAUAGGUAGCCGGCCUGAGAGGGUGGACGGCCACAAGGGGACUGAGAUACGGCCCUUACUCCUACGGGAGGCAGCAGUGGGGAAUAUUGGACAAGGGGGGCAACCCUGAUCCAGCAAUUCUGUGUGCACGAUGAAGGUUUUCGGAUUGUAAAGUGCUUUCAGCAGGGAAGAAAAAAAUGACGGUACCUGCAGAAGAAGCGACGGCUAAAUACGUG
rnacentral:rRNA from 1 species